rnacentral:snRNA from 1 species
GAGCUUGCGCAGUGGCAGUAUCGUAGCCAAUGAGGUUUAUCCGAGGCGUGAUUAUUGCUAAUUGAAAAAGUUCUCGAAUUGCUGCCAUCUGGAGAAUGAAAGAAGGACAAGGCAAGAGCCACACACUUCAUUUUAUCCCAUGCUCCUUUGCAAUGUGGUGAGAUGGAAAGAUCCA